UCGGAGCACUACGGACAAUUCCUUCGACCUCAUGGCUUGGUUUUUUUUCUGACAUGCACUGUCAGCUGUGGGACCUUAUAUAGACAGGUGUGUGCCUUUCCAAAUCAUGUUCAAUCAAUUGAAUUUACCACAGGUGGACUCCAAUCAAGUUUUAGAAACAUCUCAAGGAUGAUCAAUGGAAACAGGAUGCACCUGAGCUCAAUUUCAAGUCCCGUAGCAAAGGGUCUGAAUACUUAUGUAAUGCCGGUGGAAGCUGGUCCCCUGCAGGAAGGUGAGGUGCCAGAGAUCCCUCCGCCCUCUCUGGACAUCGAGGGGUGGAGUGAGGGGCCUGCAGUACCUCGUGAACUGGGAAGGGUACGGUCCGGAGGAGAGGUGCUGGGUACCGGUGGGGGACAUCUUGGAUCUGUCACUGUUGAGGGAUUUCCAUCGCCUCCAUCCGGAUCACCCUGCGCCUCGCCCUCCGGGUCGCCCUCGAGGCCGGUGUCGGCGCGCGGCUCCUGUCAGGGUGGGGUACUGUCACGACUCCCACCGAAGGUGGCUCCUCUUCCUGUUCGGGCAGCGGUCGUCGUCACCGGUCUACUAGCUGCCAGUUAGAAUGCUUCUUACUCAGUUGUAGGCAUACUGUAUGUUAUUGUCAGGUACUACUUUGUGCUGAAGCACUACGUUAGCCAGUUUACAUCCCUUUUCUGUUGGUUUUGUCUUACACCUGUUUACACCUGUCUUACACCUGGUUACACCAGUUUUGUUUUUCUCCGGACUGGUUAGGUCCUGGUUUUGGGCCGGUCAUUAAUGUGCGCCCUGUAUUAGCGUGUACUAUUUUCUCUGUUCCGGAGAUUAAAGCAUUGUUCUGUA